GGGCGGCUGGUCUAGGGGUAUGAUGUAGGUUGUCAUUAAUUCCUUGUCUCUUACCAAUUGCUAAUCAUGAGUAGUUUCGCUUCGCAUCUUUCAGAUCGUAUGUGAAAGGUCGUGGGUUCAAUUCCCACGUCGUCCA